rnacentral:rRNA from 1 species
GAUGAACGCUGGCGGCGUGCCUAAUACAUGCAAGUCGAGCGAACGGACGAGAAGCUUGCUUCUCUGAUGUUAGCGGCGGACGGGAGAGUAACACGUGGAUAACCUACCUAUAAGACUGGGAUAACUUCGGGAAACCGGAGCUAAUACCGGAUAAUAUUUUGAACCGCAUGGUUCAAAAGUGAAAGACGGUCUUGCUGUCACUUAUAGAUGGAUCCGCGCUGCAUUAGCUAGUUGGUAAGGUAACGGCUUACCAAGGGAACGAUGCAUAGCCGACCUGAGAGGGUGAUCGGCCACACUGGAACUGAGACACGGUCCAUACGCCUACGGGAGGCAGCAGUAGGGAAUCGUCCGCAAUGGGCGAAAGCCUGACGGAGCGACGCCGCGUGAGUGAUGAAGGUCUUCGGAUCGUAAAACUCUGUUAUUAGGGAAGAACAUAUGUGUAAGUAACUGUGCACAUCUUGACGGUACCUAAUCAGAAAGCCACGGCUAACUACGUG